GAUGAACGUUGGCGGCGUGCCUAAUACAUGCAAGUCGAGCGAACAGAUAAGGAGCUUGCUCCUUUGACGUUAGCGGCGGACGGGUGAGUAACACGUGGGUAACCUACCUAUAAGACUGGAAUAACUCCGGGAAACCGGGGCUAAUGCAGGAUAACAUGUUGAACCGCAUGGUUCUACAGUGAAAGGCGGCUUUGCUGUCACUUAUAGAUGGACCCGCGCCGUAUUAGCUAGUUGGUGAGGUAACGGCUCACCAAGGCAACGAUACGUAGCCGACCUGAGAGGGUGAUCGGCCACACUGGAACUGAGACACGGUCCAGACUCCUACGGGAGGCAGCAGUAGGGAAUCUUCCGCAAUGGGCGAAAGCCUGACGGAGCAACGCCGCGUGAGUGAUGAAGGUCUUCGGAUCGUAAAACUCUGUUAUUAGGGAAGAACAAAUGCGUAAGUAACUGUGCGCGUCUUGACGGUACCUAAUCAGAAAGCCACGGCUAACUACGUG
rnacentral:rRNA from 1 species